CCUGCGUUACAUCCAUUUCCCUUAAGCAUGGACAAAGCGAAGGUGGAAGUUUUCGGGGACGUGGAGGCAUACAGCUAGCUAGCUAGCUGGCUAUGUUGAAUGCUCAGUGGGGCCAAAUGAAGACCAACAUGCUAUUAUGAAGGUCAUAAGAUGAGAAAUAAAGGUGGCUUUUGUGGGAGGUUGAGAUGACCUUGGUCACCGCCAGCUAAGGACAAGUACUGGAUUAAGGGUAAUGGACUGCCAUGGAGUGUCUUACAUUUGGAAUGCAUCGAGAAAUGAAGACUGCCAUGACUGAUUACAAUGACCUCAGUGGUGCGAGUCAUCCAUUGCCAGCUUGCUGUCUGAUCAUGCAUGAAAAUACAGGUUGAAUUGACAUAAUGGCAGAACGUUGUGAAUCAAGCAAAAAUUGCAAUGACAUAAGGUGUUUAUUAUCCCAAAUUUGUGGAAAACUUGACUGCUGUCUCUUGAUGUAUUAAACUCUCAAUUUAAAAUGCCC